AAACUUUCAACAACGGAUCUCUUGGUUCUGGCAUCAAUGAAGAACGCAGC
rnacentral:rRNA from 1 species